CAGUAGCGUAUAUUAAAGUUGUUGCAGUUAAAAAGCUCGUAGUUGGACCUUGGACCUGGACAGGCGGUCCGCCUCACGGCGAGUACUGUCUUGCUGGGUCUUUCCUCUUGGUGAUCUGUUGUUUCGGCAGCAGGGAACCAGGACCUUUACUUUGAAAAAAUUAGAGUGUUCAAAGCAGGCUCGACGCCGGAAUAUAUUAGCAUGGAAUAAUAAAAUAGGACGUGCGGUUCUAUUUUGUUGGUUUUUGAAAUCGCCGUAAUGAUUAAUAGGGACAGUCGGGGGCAUUAGUACUCACAUGCUAGAGGUGAAAUUCUUGGAUUUUGUGAAGACUAACUUCUGCGAAAGCAUUUGCCAAGGAUGUUUUCAUUAA
rnacentral:rRNA from 1 species